AUGGUCUGUCUUCCGCACCCCUCGGCCCUCGGACAUCCUGCAAGGCCUGCUGGGAAACUGUUGGUUCCUGAGUGCGUUGGCGGUGCUGGCGAGCGCCAGGCUGUGGGAGAGGGUGAUGAUCCCAGGGGAUCUGCCAGGAGGGGGCCUACCAGGUCAGGCUUUGUAAGGAUGGUACCUGGAUCACCGUGCUGGUGGAAGACAUGCUUCCCUGCGAUGAGUACGGAUACCUUCUCUUCUCCCAGGUAAGGGCUGGGACAACCACGCACUUAGCGUGGUCCCUCGCCACUUCUGUGAACUCUGAAGUGGUGCCAUGUAUGUUCAUUGCGUUGCAAGGUUCAUUCACUGCUCAUAGAUUUUACCUCCUCGCUCUCUCUCUCUCUCCUCUCUUCUCCAUUCUUCCUUCUCUCUCCCUCUCUCUUUGAUCUCUCUCUCUGUGUCUCGCUCCCCUUGCCCUCUUUUCUCUCCUCCUUUCUCCAUCAUACACGUCCCUCUACCCCUUCACUACCUUUUCUGUCCUUCCUACUUCACCACCUCUAUCCCCCUCUGCCUCUUUUCUCUCUCCUUCCGUUCUCCAUUCCUCCUUCCUCUCUCUCCCUCGCCAGCCGCGUAAGCAGCUCUGGGUGGCCCUGAUAGAGAGGCCCUGGCCAAGCUCCAUGGCUCCUACUUCGCCCUGCAGGCGGGGCGCGCCAUCGAGGGCUUGGCCACGCUGACGGGGGCGCCGUGUGACUCCCUGAUGCUGCAGGUCAGCUCCACAACCCCCGCGAGGAGCCCAUCGACACGGACCUCAUCUGGGCCAAGAUGUUGAGCUCCAAGGGGCCGGUAAGGGGAUAGAGGAGAUUUGUCUUUCGGGGGGGGGGGGGGGGUGCUGUGUAUAUGUAUCCUGAUUUGCACAGGUUGGCACGGGUAGACGUAGUUACUCGAGAGUCUAGGUCAAGAACAAGUCCAUUCAUUUGAGAAGUCAUGACGUGGCCUAUUGAAUGGACCCUGAUUACAUCUACUCCUUGACUAACAAACAUGUUCAAUGGAGAAUGCUUUUUAGUCCAAUGAGUAGGCUUAUAUCUGGAUCCGUUUUGGCGACCGCCCCCAAGAGUUUUAAGGUGACACGUGAUCAAUGUUCCUUCUCAUUUUUCCUAGACACUGAGCAAACCUCAGGUCUGCUAAGCGCAAAAUUUCUGUGCAACUUCCAGCGUACGUUUACUGUGAACACUUGAGACUUUUGAAAAACAAUAUACAGGGCUUGACAUGAACCUGUUUAUCCACUUGUCCUUCAGACAUGUUGUUGUGUUGUUUGGUGCAAGAAACCACUUAUUCCCACACCAUUAUUACAGACAAAUUAUGCUUCCCGCUUCCUAUUGGCUACUUAGCUUAUUCAAGCCUGUCUCAAAAUAAAACACUGUCCCUUGAAGACAGAAAAAAAGCUCAUUACCUGACUUGCUUUUCAAAGAUGUCUAGAGAUGUACACGUUUUGUGCUCUUGUAGGAAGCAAUCACACUCCCCUGUUGCUGACUACAAAUGAUCAAUGACUCAAUGACUAGCAAAGGAUAUAAACAAAAUGUGUACACGCGGUUACAAGCAGCUUGUCGACUUUAAUCUCAAAACAAGCGCGUCUACUCACGGCCACAGCUGUAAACACGGUCCAGUUCAAAGUGAAUGGCACAGAUCCAUAUAAGUCAAUGGUCUAUUUGCAUAUAAGCCUACUGCAGCUCUGAUUGGUUUUGCCACAUCGGUCUGUGUAGAGUACGUGCUGAGUAGUGCAUGUCAAUGCAAUAGAAUCCUACUCCGAUGCGUUCUGCCUCCCAACAAAAUCUCUUGCCUAGUUAAUUUCUGUUUCGGUAUGUUGCGUUGAUUCGAUCACAAUUGCCACAGUAAAGGAAACAUCGAUAGUGUUAACCGGGGAAACUCUCGAACUGUGGUCACCAACCUUUUCCGAGUCAAGAUCACUUUGAGUCAAAAUGCAAGCCGAGAUCUAUCUUUUUUGAACAGGACUUAAAAAAUGUAAGCCCAUGCAACAUUAACCAAUUAAAAACAGUAUUGUAGCAGUGAGGUUUGUGCAGUAAAGUAUAGGCCCAAUGAUACAUAGUCACUGUAUAUUGCCUUUGCUAGAAAUGUUUGGGCCGUUUACAUA
rnacentral:lncRNA from 1 species